GCAACUCCAAACCAACCACUAAAAUAGAGAAAGAGGUGUCAUGGCGGCUUCCUGAACGUUUAACCUGAAGAUUCACAGACAGUUAAACAUUUAAAAGCCUCCGGUUUUUUAGUCUCGAAAUGACUAUCAAAGACCCGAUUAAGUGGAAUUACAGAGUGUCUGCAGUUUACGCUCUGGGGAUCUGGACAAUAUUAGGAUCCUACGCUUUUUUAAAAUAUACAGGUCGUUUGGACGAUCCAGUAGCGAACCAAAAAUUCGAAGAGCCAGAAAAUCCCAACAAGCAUAUCUACGAAACUGCUCACUCCAAAACCAUCAUCGUUUAUAAGGAAGAUUUCGUCCCCUACAGCAGGAGGAUCUACAAUUUCAUCAAGUCGUUGAGUGGAGGAUCAGGAGCUGGAGAUGGCGACAAGUAGCUGCUGGACAUGUUUUAAAAGACAGACUUGCUGUUUGCAUAUUUGAAGAGGCUGUCUUUCAUUAUUUUGCCAAAAAAGAAUGUCCAAAAACAUCAGGACUAAUCAUCUCUGCAAAGCAAUGAUCAAGUUGUCACAGAGUAUUUUAUUAAAGCUCUAGAUAUUUAGGAAUUUUUGCAAAUUAAUUGUUUCAUAUAAUUGGUUUUACAACAAAAAGUGUUUUGCAGCCAGUUUAAUUCAUUUAGGCUCUAAUUUCCAGCAGAUUAUGACCCACAUUUGGAAAAAUCAUGAAAAGGGGAAAUGGGCAGCAUUCUAUAUUUCUUAUAUGUUUAUUGUUUGGGGAAAAAAACUAAUAUCUUCUUGUGAAUUAAAAAUAAGGAUACUUGAAUUUAUUCCAUCAAGAGUUUUUGAAAUGUAAUAAAUGACUGCAUUUCUUGAAAAAUAACAAAUAAAUAAGUUAUAAUUGGUAUGAAUUUCCCAUU